rnacentral:rRNA from 1 species
GGGGAAUAUUGCGCAAUGGGGGAAACCCUGACGCAGCAACGCCGCGUGGGUGAUGAAGGUCUUCGGAUUGUAAAGCCCUGUUUUCUGGGACGAUAAUGACGGUACCAGAGGAGGAAGCCACGGCUAACUACGUGCCAGCAGCCGCGGUAAUACGUAGGUGGCGAGCGUUGUCCGGAUUUACUGGGCGUAAAGGGUGCGUAGGCGGAUGUUUAAGUGGGAUGUGAAAUCCCCGGGCUUAACCUGGGGGCUGCAUUCCAAACUGGAUAUCUAGAGUGCAGGAGAGGAAAGUGGAAUUCCUAGUGUAGCGGUGAAAUGCGUAGAGAUUAGGAAGAACACCAGUGGCGAAGGCGGCCUACUGGGCUUUAACUGACGCUGAAGCACGAAAGCAUGGGUAGCAAAC